rnacentral:rRNA from 1 species
UACGGGGGGGGCAAGCGUUGUUCGGAAUUACUGGGCGUAAAGGGCUCGUAGGUGGCCAACUAAGUCAGACGUGAAAUCCCUCGGCUUAACCGGGGAACUGCGUCUGAUACUGGAUGGCUUGAGUUUGGGAGAGGGACGCGGAAUUCCAGGUGUAGCGGUGAAAUGCGUAGAUAUCAGGAGGAACACCAAUAGCGAAGGCAGCUCGCUGGGACGGUACUGACGCUAAGGCGCGAAAGCGUGGGGAGCGAACAGG